rnacentral:rRNA from 1 species
ACGGUUCGGGCUUACUUAGUGGGUUAUGGGGAAGCAAAAGCAAACACAGCUAUAAAGGCGAAAGCAGUUAAAAAAGCGAAAGCUAUUGCAAAAGCGUAUAUAAGCGUAAAAGCAAUAAAAAAAGCAAUUGCAGUAAAAAAAGCAAAAGCGAAAACAAUUGCAAAAGCGAAAGCAAACCCCGAAACAAAAAAUAAUUCAGUAAGUAAGCCCGGAUAGUGGCGAACGGGUGAGUAACAUGUGGGUAACCAACCGUAUACAGGGGAACAACUAAAAGAAAUUUUAGCUAAAACCGCAUAAGCUUCAGAGACUGCAUGGUCUCAGAAGAAAAAGAGAGAUCUGGUAUACAACGGACCCGCAGCUGAUUAGCUAGUUGGUGAGACAACAGCCCACCAAGGCAACGAUCAGUAGCCGGCCUGAGAGGGCGAACGGCCACAUUGGGACUGAGACACGGCCCAAACUCCUACGGGAGGCAGCAGUGGGGAAUAUUGCACAAUGGGCGAAAGCCUGAUGCAGCAACGCCGCGUGAGGGAAGAAGGGUUUCGGCUCGUAAACCUCUAUCAAUGGAGACGAAAAAAAUGACGGUAUCCAAAUAAGAAGCCCCGGCUAACUACGUGCCAGCAGCCGCGGUAAUACGUAGGGG